rnacentral:rRNA from 1 species
CAGUAGCCACGGUAAUACGUAAGUGGCAAGCGCUGUCCGGAAUUAUUGGGCGUAAAGGGCUCGCAGGCGGUUUCUUAAGUCUGAUGUGAGAGCCCCCGGCUCAACCGGGGAGGGUCAUUGGAAACUGGGAAACUUGAGUGCAGAAGAGGAGAGUGGAAUUCCACGUGUAGCGGCGAAAUGCGUAGAGAUGUGGAGGAACACCAGUGGCGAAGGCGACUCUCUGGUCUGUAACUGACGCUGAGGAGCGAAAGCGUGGGGAGCGAACAGGAUUAGAUACCCGUGUAGUCCCUGUCUCUUAUAC